UAGCGUCUUACCUGGUACAUAACAUUUGAAGGAAGAACUGCAAUUAGAAGGACUCAGGACUAAAAAUGAAGCUCCUUCUUCUUACAACUUUUAUAGUGACCAUCUCCAAUGUCAGUGCAGGCAAGACACAGAGGAUGUUAGCAGCCAUGAUGGCAGGAAUGAACGGAGGAACGAUGGCAGGUAUGAAUGGAGGAAUGUUGGCAGGUAUGAACGG